CGUUCCCAGAACGUUCCCUGCAGGUUAUUUAUUGGCAUUUUUUUUAUAACCUAAAGAGAACGUUCCCAGAACGCUCCCUGCAGGUUAUUUUUUUUGGCUUUUUUUAUAACCUAAAGAGAACGUUUCUAGAACGUUCCUUGCAGGUUAUUUUUGGUUAACUGAGUUGCUGCAGAAAUUCAUAAGACAUACAAUGUAAGCGAUUUGAAAUUACAAUAAACUGAUAAAACACGCUAAAAAUGUAACCUUUCAUAGCAGCUGAAAACAAACCAAAUUUGAAAGUGAAGUGACAUUCAGCCAAGUAUGGUGACCCAUACUCAGAAUUUGUGCUCUGCAUUUAACCCAUCCGAAAUGCACACACGCAGUGAACACACACACACACACACACACUGUGAGCACACAGCCGAUUUUGUAAUGAGGGGAUUGAAUGUUACUGUAAAUUCUGCGUGUUUUAAUGAGCGCGCGCUGAACAUUGGAGCGCGUUCAUUCAGAUUCAAACACUGGAGCGGAGGGAGUUGGCAUGGAAACGGGCGGUCGACAACACUGGCAAGCUGCACGCUCCGUGUCUCGCUGCUGUUUUCACUGAUUUCGAAAUGGUUAAGUGUUUUCGAACAAGUCCGUGAGCAUCUGAACCUUUAUCAGAGGAGAUUCUUCUAGUGCUUGAUGAUCUUCUGCAUCCCAUGAUGAGCAAACCUCCUGUCCAACAACAUCUCCAAGGCACACUGAUCCAUAUGACUAGCAGCGAAAUAUACAUUGUGGACCAAAGAGGAAACUGACAACACACAGACAGAAGAAGACAGAGAAGGUCACUUCUGAUCCAUCAAAGUCCUCAUCUUCUGUGUUUGAGUUGAACAGCUGGGCAACAGCUUUUGAACAGCUUUCUUCAUCAAACAUGCCGGGUUCCCUCUCAUCAUGGUUGAUCGCUGCCAGCGUACGUAGUGUACGUAUUAUGUCCCUGUGUCAGCGGGAAAUGGUCCGACAGUCAGAUGACUGUUGUGAAGAUGGAAGAGUGCAGGAUCUACAAUUACACUAAUAAUAAAAUUUUUGAAGUAGUUUGA